UUAUAAAUAGUACUAUGUCGGCUAAUAAAAACUAUAGUUUUAAAACCAAAGAUUCUGGCGGUGUUUCAGUAAAAUUAGGGGAGCCUGUUUAUUAAUAUGAUAAUCCACAAACAUCUUACCAUGAAUUGAUAAUCCAGUUUGUAUACUGCCGUAUAAAGUCUAGUUAAAAUACCUAAGACAAAAAAUCAUAGACAUUAAUAACAUAACAGGUCAAAGUGCAACUAAAAUCAUGGGCUCAAUGGGCUACAUUUAUGCUUAUAAAUACUCCAUAAAUAACAUUAAAAGAACUUAAUAGUAAUAAACCUUUACUAUAGAUUUAUAAAACACUAACAAUACAUGCACAUAUCGCCCGUCACUCUUAUUGAAAAAUA
rnacentral:rRNA from 1 species